rnacentral:rRNA from 1 species
GACGAACGCUGGCGGCGUGCCUAAUACAUGCAAGUAGAACGCACAGUUUAUACCGUAGCUUGCUACACAAUAGACUGUGAGUUGCGAACGGGUGAGUAACGCGUAGGUAACCUGCCUGGUAGCGGGGGAUAACUAUUGGAAACGAUAGCUAAUACCGCAUAAUAUUAAUUAUUGCAUGAUAAUUAAUCGAAAGGUGCAAUAGCACCACUACCAGAUGGACCUGCGUCUUAUUAGCAAGUAGGGGAAGUAACGGCGCACCUAGGCGACGACAGAUAACCGACCAGUGGGGGGAGUCCGCCGCACUGGGACGGAAACACAGCCCAUAACUCUUCAGGAAGCAACAGUAAGGAAUCAUGAGCAAUGGACGAAAGUCUGACCGCGCAAACCCGCAUGAGUGAAUGAGGGUUUCCGAUCGUAAAGAUCUGUUGAGAGAGAAGAACGGAAGUGAGAGUGAAACGUUCACCCUUUGACGGUAGCUAACCAGAAAGGGACGGCUAACUACGUG